AGUGAACGCUGGCGGUAGGCCUAACACAUGCCAGUCGAACGGCAGCACAGUAAGAGCUUGCUCUUACGGGUGGCGAGUGGCGGACGGGUGAGGAAUACAUCGGAAUCUACUUUUUCGUGGGGGAUAACGUAGGGAAACUUACGCUAAUACCGCAUACGACCUACGGGUGAAAGCAGGGGAUCUUCGGACCUUGCGCGAUUGAAUGAGCCGAUGUCGGAUUAGCUAGUUGGCGGGGUAAAGGCCCACCAAGGCGACGAUCGGUAGCUGGUCUGAGAGGAUGAUCGGCCACACUGGAACUGAGACACGGUCCAGACUCCUACGGGAGGCAGCAGUGGGGAAUAUUGGACAAUGGGCGCAAGCCUGAUCCAGCCAUACCGCGUGGGUGAAGAAGGCCUUCGGGUUGUAAAGCCCUUUUGUUGGGAAAGAAAAGCAGCAGGUUAAUACCCCGCUGUUCUGACGGUACCCAAAGAAUAAGCACCGGCUAACUUCGUG
rnacentral:rRNA from 1 species